ACUGGGCCUCCACUGAGUCUCCAUGUGUCAAGCAGUACAGAGAAACCCCCUCUAGAUGGCAGCAGAGGCUCUUGGAUCUACCCUGUCUAUCCACCAGUUUAGUGACCUUGUUCCAUCAAUAUGUCCAUACUACUUCACAACCCAUUUGAGGUCUUGACCAGCAAUGUCCCAUUGGGCUCAACCAAGCCGAGAGUGAGGUUCUAGAAAGAGGACUGACUUUCAUACCAACUCCUAAACAGGUGGACUGACUUUCAUACCAACUCCUAAACAGGUGGACUGACUUUCAUACCAACUCCUAAACAGGUGGACUGACUUUCAUACCAACUCCUAAACAGGUGGACUGACUUUCAUACCAACUCCUAAACAGGUGGACUGACUUCCAUACCAACUCCUAAACAGGUGGACUGACUUUCAUACCAACUCCUAAACAGGUGGACCUACUUUCAUACCAACUCCUAAACAGGUGGACUGACUUUCAUACCAACUCCUAAACAGGUGGACUGACUUUCAUACCAACUCCUAAACAGGUGGACUGACUUUCAUACCAACUCCUAAACAGGUGGACUGACUUUCAUACCAACUCCUAAACAGAUGGACUGACUUUCAUACCAACUCCUAAACAGGUGGACUGACUUUCAUACCAACUCCUAAACAGGUGGACUGACUUUCAUACCAACUCCUAAACAGGUGGACUGACUUUCAUACCAACUCCUAAACAGGUGGACUGACUUUCAUACCAACUCCUAAACAGAUGGACUGACUUUCAUACCAACUCCUAAACAGGUGGACUGACUUUCAUACCAACUCCUAAACAGGUGGACUGACUUUCAUACCAACUCCUAAACAGGUGGACUGACUUUCAUACCAACUCCUAAACAGGUGGACUGGGAGGAGCUCCGGAGGGGAUCUACACGUCUAUCAUAGAGAUUGAAGUUAUAAGAUCAUUGUGAAUAUGAAACAGAUUUUCCUCAGAUACUAUUUCCAAACCCCUCACAUUGGGAACCUCAGUUGGAGUCAGAAACUAUACAGACUCUGAUACGUAGGGAUGUGGCUUCCUUUUCACUAUUCAGAACCAGACCUGUUUAUCAGCUUAACCUUACAAAUGGUUAAAAAUCAAGCUCUAGAAAUAUAGUGAUUAAACCAGCAGAUAAGGGGCUCAGAUUGUUGUAAUGGAUAAAGUGAAUAUCUUCUUGAAGCCAAUAGACAAUAGGAUCAUGUUAAACACUAUGUUCCAUUGUCCCACUCAACACAACCGGAAAACACAAAGAUUAAUCCAGGAGAUAAACUGUAUGAGGAUAAGUACAUUACAGAUAAACAGAUGGUCUGUCUUUUUGGGACAGAUUCUCCAAGGCCUAGGCAGUUUUACUUACUGCCUAAAAUAGACAUCUCCUGAGACGUGGGCGGUUCCCUGCAGCUGACCAAUAGG
rnacentral:lncRNA from 1 species